rnacentral:rRNA from 2 species
AGUAGAAUUUAAAAGUGUAGCGGUAAAAAGUGAAAAGAAUCUGAUGAAUCACCUGUGGUGAAGGCGGCUUAUUGGUCUGUAACAGACGAAGAGGCGCGAAAGCGUGGGGAGCAAACAGGAUUAGAUACCAUGGUAGUCCACCCCGUAAACGAUGAGUGCUAAGUGUUAGAGGGUUUCCGCCCUUUAGUGCUGCAGCUAACGCAUUAAGCACUCCGCCUGGGGAGUACGGUCGCAAGACUGAAACUCAAAGGAAUUGACGGGGGCCCGCACAAGCGGUGGAGCAUGUGGUUUAAUUCGAAGCAACGCGAAGAACCUUACCAGGUCUUGACAUCCUCUGACAACUCUAGAGAUAGAGCGUUCCCCUUCGGGGGACAGAGUGACAGGUGGUGCAUGGUUGUCGUCAGCUCGUGUCGUGAGAUGUUGGGUUAAGUCCCGCAACGAGCGCAACCCUUGAUCUUAGUUGCCAGCAUUUAGUUGGGCACUCUAAGGUGACUGCCGGAGACAAACCGGAGGAAGGUGGGGAUGACGUCGAAAUCUAUC